UUAUCCUCGAAUGGCAACCUGGAUUUUUUUCAACCGCCCAGGCGAAUGGAUACUAGUCUAAACAUUGGAAUUCCGCCAUUUUAUCGCUCGUUUUUUUCUUUUUGGAGGAUGAAGACAGUUCCCAUACAGGCAUUGAUGUGACGACCGAGUCCGCCGCAACGGCAGCGAAUCGUUGGCGACAGUCGAGUCCUAUUCUGUUCCACCCCGAGGUUGUACUCCGGAUUUUGAAGCCCUCAUCAGAUCCAAUUCUUUGCUGCCACUUCAGAGGUUGCGGUUACCACCGUAACGAUUUCUAAUUUAAGAUAAUCUGAACAUUGAUUGAUUUGAGGUGAAUCCUUCGCCGCUGUUUAAUAGCCUUUAUCCAUUCGGGAAACUGAAGAGAGAUUGCGGAAAUUCAAGACGUAUCAAUAAAUUAUUUAGUUGU
rnacentral:lncRNA from 1 species